rnacentral:rRNA from 1 species
AAUGAACGUUGGCGGCGUGGAUUAGGCAUGCGAGUCGCGCGAGAAUUGUAGCAAUACAAGGACAGCGGCGAAAGGGAGAGGACAACAUGGGAAUCUGCCCUGGGGACGAGGAUAGCGUCGGGAAACUGACGGUAAUACUCGAUAAUGUUUGCGGACCAAAGGUGAGAUUCCGCUCCAGGAUGAGCCCAUGCCCCAUUAGCUAGUUGGCAGGGUAAUGGCCUACCAAGGCUAUGAUGGGUAGCUGGUGUGAGAGCAUGACCAGCCUCACUGGCACUGAGACACUGGCCAGACACCUACGGGUGGCUGCAGUCGAGAAUCUUCGGCAAUGGACGAAAGUCUGACCGAGCGACGCCGCGUGCGGGAUGAAGGCCUUCGGGUUGUAAACCGCUGUCGUAGGGGAUCAAAUUUACGAGGGUUCUCCCUCGUAUUUGAGAGAUCCUAGGAGGAAGGAGAGGCUAAGCUCGUGCCAACAGCCGCCGUAA